rnacentral:tRNA from 2 species
CCGGCGGCGGACCGACCGGACCGCCGGGCGGAUUACCCGGGCCGGCGGGACGGAACCCCGGCCAGCCCGGUUCGUUGCCGGGGCCGGCGGGCC